ensembl:snRNA U2 U2 spliceosomal RNA
AUCGCUUCUCGGCCUUUUGGCUAAGAUCAAGUGUAGGAACAGUAGCAAUCCUAGUGAUAGGGAACACUUAUGGAGAUCUUACUCUGUGUUAGGUAGUGCUCAAAGUCUUUGCAUACUACCAACUAAUUUAAUCUUCAUAAUAGUGCUACUAUGUAAGUGAUUUUAUUCUC